AAGAGGCUGAAACAUGGGAGACGGAAACAGUGCAUACAGGAGGGAGAAUGGAAGGUUUCUUAAUAAAAGGUUUCGCUUGACCUAAAAGUUAUCUCUCCAAGAAAACAUAUAUAUCUACAAGCUGAGAGUUCUGAUUCCUGCAGGGAACUGUUUGACACACUUGAUGUUGAAGGCAAAAUUGCAUACAUACCUACAGAAAAAAACAAGAAAUAUCACAGAAGACAUAAGAAAGACAAUGGAUUAAACAGAAUUAUGCAAAUUUGGAGGCUGGUAUUAAGGGAGCAGAGGGGCCAGAGCUGUGGCUUAGUGGGUAACGCCGCCACCUGCAGUGCAGGCAUCACCUAUGGGUGCCAGUUCAAGACCCAGCUGCUCCACUGCCCAUCCAAUGCUGAUAUGGGCUGGGAAAGCUGUGCAGGAUAGCACAAGGACCCUGUACCCACCUGGGAGACCAUGAAGAAACUCUUGGUUCCUGGUUUCGUAUCAACCCAGCUCUGGCCAUUUCAACCAUUUCGGGAGUGAACCAGUGGAUGAAUGAUCUCUCUUUCUCU